AGGUUAUGUGUGACGACCCCCUGAAUUUAAGCAUAUUAAUGAGGGGAGGAAAAGAAACCAACCGGGAUUCCCUGAGUAGCUGCGAGCGAAACGGGAGAAGCUCAGCACGUAGGGAUGGCGGCCCGCCCGUCUAUCCGAUUCCGUGUACUGGUGCGUCUCACUAUCCGUCGACUAGUGCGUAUCAAGUCCAA
rnacentral:rRNA from 1 species